GCCAUAUAGCUCAGUUGGUUACAGCAUGGUACUGAUAACGCCAAGGUUGCAGAUUCAAUUCCUGUAAGACACAGCUGCA